CAUCACAAGCUUCCAUAAACAAUUCAUUGUCUAAACUCAUCAUAACGGUAACAUUAUCACUCGAUGAUUAAUAAUACAGAUGAUAAUAACGCGAAAGGUGCUUGCUUACGGCCCACUGCACGAACAUAAUUGGUACUCUUAGGGCAGCCCACUGUACGAACAUAAUGGGUACUCUUAGGGCAGAUUGACUCUCAGUCUCAGGGGAGAACAACAAAGGCGCAGAGUGAUUGAACCACAACCCACUUACAACAGUAGUCUCGACGAUAUAUUUCUUAUAUAAUAGCCCUCCGUAAGAAUGGUGUAGAUUGGUUGGACAACCGCACGGCGAAUAACGUUAUUCUUGAUAACAGAUAUGCCUCACAACGAGUGGUUCACCACAGGUUUAUUGAUUGAUAAUACAUUAUUGCUUUGCCAUUUUCUAAUACAACGCAUGGCCGACAAAAAUCCUAGACAAUGCGAGUAGUUCCACCGAGUCUUCUUUUAACUAAGUGUGAGAAACACUACUCUCACAGUCACUAUUCGUGUUUUAGUUAUUUUCAACUUGUCAGACAUUGGUUAUGAGUUACGAAGUGUGUGAAAAUAUCAUUAUCUCUCACAUUCUGUAACCUAUACUAAUGCAGUGAUAACAUAACCAUGACUGUUCUCGAAGAGUUUCAAGAAUAACGCAAAAUGGGGACAGCAAGAAUAACCCACUUUUUAAGAAUUCAGAUGAUGCUACUUAGUCAACCCAUAGGAAAGUUUCAUGAUGUACUUGAACUUUUACAAACAAGGGGAGGUUCCGUUUAAUGAGAAACACUGAGAAACCAUGCCAGUUCUCCAAGAGUUUCAAGAACCUAUCAAGUAACUGCUGUGGGGACCGAAGCAGCUAUGGAAGAGUUGUCUGAGGGAGGAACAAUAAUAAAGGACCUGAGGGUCAGGAACUCGAAACCAAGAAAAUAACAGGUUGUCCAUAAACACACAAAACGUGUGCCAGUUAAUUCCAGGAAUCUCGCACGUUAAGACAGUCGGCAGUGUUUGGAGUCUUACCUUAGCAUCAGGCACUGUACGAAAAGUACCUUGAUUGGAUAAAUGUCAUCCAGCUUGACAUCACCAAUUUGAAUUUAAAAUAUAAGACUUUCAGUCAGCAGUGAAGCUGCUCACUUAAGCUCUUGUUGAUGGGAGACGGGCUGAAACAGAUAUCCCUCACCUUGAGCAAAAGCAAAAGGCACAGGGAGGAAAAAGUAUCUAUUGCUUUUGGCACGAAGACUCCCAAAUUCUGUGAUGACGACGACAAGGUCUGUAUCGUCAUGGAAUUACAGUAUGCAUCCCACGCGCUCGUCUUCCUGUCAGCCUACUACAAACGCAAAUUGUUGCUUAGUCUUUUCAACAUUGCCACCCUCCCUCCAACUUCUAGUUGAUGGCGCCUCUGCCUGGGUAUGGAUUAAUCCAACUGACAACUGUACUAGAAUAAUAAACAAGACAAGAAAUUCUCAAAUUUGGAUCGGUGAGACUCCGUGAACACCAAUAUGAAAGGAACAAAUCACAACCAUCUUAAGCUUCACUUUUUGAAGAGGAUCGGGUAGAAAUAUCAAGAGGAAUUGUUAUUCAGUUAAAAACAAGCUCAAAACAGUAGUGCCUUCAUCCGGAUGGUGGCUUCAUCGGUCAUCCUGAAGUGAUGGUUGAUAGUGACAUGAGUUAAACAAAGGCUUCCGAAAUGACCGACAGUACUACCCACGGCAAGAGGAGAAAUAGAGAUCAUAUGUUUUCUGACUUGAAUGCUUCUACGAUGACACAGAAACCAGAGCUUUUUCUAAAGAAAGAUUCCCCAGAAUAACUGAAGUCAAAUUUUUAUACGAGACAUGGAAAGGAAAUCUUCGAAAAAUCCAUAUUCUUAUCGGAGCCGACUAAUGAAAGCGUAUCUGCGAACUUCGAAAACGUGUCCCAUGACGACGAUGUCCGUCUUUCAAGUGAGAGUGCCAACUUUACCUGAAGGAAGACAAGAAACAAUAAGGUAAG